GGGUGACGGCGUACCUUUUGUAUAAUGGGUCAGCGACUUACAUUCAGUGGCAAGCUUAACCGAUUAGGGCAGGCGUAGCGAAAGCGAGUCCGAACAGGGCGUUGAGUCGCUGGGUGUAGACCCGAAACCAGAUGAUCUAUCCAUGGCCAGGUUGAAGGUGCGGUAACACGUACUGGAGGACCGAACCCACUAACGUUGAAAAGUUAGGGGAUGAGCUGUGGAUAGGGGUGAAAGGCUAAACAAAUCUGGAAAUAGCUGGUUCUCUCCGAAAACUAUUUAGGUAGUGCCUCGUGUCUCACCUUCGGGGGUAGAGCACUGUCAUGGUUGGGGGGUCUAUUGCUGAUUACCCCGCCAUAGCAAACUCCGAAUACCGAAGAGUGCAAUCACGGGAGACAGACAUCGGGUGCUAACGUCCGGUGUCAAGAGGGAAACAACCCAGACCGCCAGCUAAGGUCCCCAAAUAUAGCUAAGUGGGAAACGAAGUGGGAAGGCUAAAACAGUCAGGAGGUUGGCUUAGAAGCAGCCACCCUUUAAAGAAAGCGUAAUAGCUCACUGAUCGAGUCGUCCUGCGCGGAAGAUGUAACGGGGCUAAGCUAUAUACCGAAGCUGCGGACGC
rnacentral:rRNA from 1 species